CGAUUGUAUCACUUCAAAACACCGGCUCACAUACGAUCGCCGAAGUUAAGCAAAGUCGAGCGUGGUCGGUACCUACACGGGUAACCCCUUGGGGACACCCGGUGCUGUAAG